rnacentral:rRNA from 1 species
ACGGGUGAGUAAUACAUCGGAACGUAUCCUGGAGUGGGGGAUAGCCCGGCGAAAGCCGGAUUAAUACCGCAUACGCUCUGAGGAGGAAAGCGGGGGACCUUCGGGCCUCGCGCUCAAGGGGCGGCCGAUGGCGGAUUAGGUAGUUGGUGGGGUAAAGGCCUACCAAGCCGACGAUCCGUAGCUGGUCUGAGAGGACGACCAGCCACACUGGGACUGAGACACGGCCCAGACUCCUACGGGAGGCAGCAGUGGGGAAUUUUGGACAAUGGGGGCAACCCUGAUCCAGCAAUGCCGCGUGUGUGAAGAAGGCAUUCGGGUUGUAAAGCACUUUUGUCCGGAAAGAAAUCAUCGGGGGCCAAUACCCCUGGUGGAUGACGGUACCGGAAGAAUAAGCACCGGCUAACUACGUGCCAGCAGCCGCGGGUAAUACGUAGGGUGCGAGCGUUAAUCGGAAUUACUGGGCGUAAAGCGUGCGCAGGCGGUGCUGUAAGACCGAUGUGAAAUCCCCCGGGCUUAACCUGGGAACUGCAUUGGUGACUGCAGCGCUGGAGUAUGGCAGAGGGGGGUGGAA